UAUCUCAGAUGGUAAAGAAUCUGCCUGCAAUGCAGGAGAUCCAGGUUUGAUCCCUGG
rfam:Ovis aries breed Texel chromosome 10, whole genome shotgun sequence.